rnacentral:rRNA from 1 species
GAUGAACGCUGGCGGCGUGCCUAAUACAUGCAAGUCGAGCGAACGGACGAGAAGCUUGCUUCUCUGAUGUUAGCGGCGGACGGGUGAGUAACACGUGGAUAACCUACCUAUAAGACUGGGAUAACUUCGGGAAACCGGAGCUAAUACCGGAUGAUAUUUUGAACCGCAUGGUUCAAAAGUGAAAGACGGUCUUGCUGUCACUUAUAGAUGGAUCCGCGCUGCAUUAGCUAGUUGGUAAGGUAACGGCUUACCAAGGCAACGAUGCAUAGCCGACAUGAGAGGGUGAUCGGCCACACUGGAACUGAGACACGGUCCAGACUCCUACGGGAGGCAGCAGUAGGGAAUCUUCCGCAAUGGGCGAAAGCAUGACGGAGCAACGCCGCGUGAGUGAUGAAGGUCUUCGGAUCGUAAAACUCUGUUAUUAGGGAAGAACAUAUGUGUAAGUAACUGUGCACAUAUUGACGGUACCUAAUCAGAAAGCCACGGCUAACUACGUG